GACGAACGCUGGCGGCGUGCCUAAUACAUGCAAGUAGAACGCUGAAGGAGGAGCUUGCUUCUCUGGAUGAGUUGCGAACGGGUGAGUAACGCGUAGGUAACCUGCCUGGUAGCGGGGGAUAACUAUUGGAAACGAUAGCUAAUACCGCAUAAGAGUAGAUGUUGCAUGACAUUUGCUUAAAAGGUGCAAUUGCAUCACUACCAGAUGGACCUGCGUUGUAUUAGCUAGUUGGUGGGGUAACGGCUCACCAAGGCGACGAUACAUAGCCGACCUGAGAGGGUGGUCGGCCACCCUGGGACUGAGACACGGCCCAGACUUCUACGGGAGGCAGCAGUAGGGGAUCUUCGGCCAUGGGCGGAAGUCUGACCGAGCAACGCCGCGGGAGUGCAGAAGGUUUUCGGAUCGUAAAGCUCUGUUGUAAGAGAAGAAAGAGUCUGAGAGUGGAAAGUUCACACUGUGACGGUAUCUUACCAGAAAGGGCCGGCUAACUACGUG
rnacentral:rRNA from 1 species